rnacentral:lncRNA from 1 species
GUUUGUCCGCCAAGGUGUUUUGUGCUCUUGGAAUAUGUCUGAUCCGGAAGUCAGGGAAGAAAGUCUUACUGCAGCUGAAUUCUCUCAUGUGUGUAGAGAAAGCUGGCCAUUCUUCAGAUGUCGACACCAUCUUCACCAAUUGAGAACAAUCCGUCGCAAAAAAUACAUUAGAAAAUGGCAGGGUCUUCAUGCACUCCAUUGCCCAAAUUAGUGCUUCACACUCAGCAUGCAUGGGUGACAGGCUUCUACGAAGAUUCAUCGCCCCCAUCAUAACAUCUGUCGAGCCAC